rnacentral:rRNA from 1 species
GAUGAACGCUAGCGGCAGGCUUAACACAUGCAAGUCGAGGGGCAGCGCGGGAUAGCAAUAUCCUGGCGGCGACCGGCGGAAGGGUGCGUAACGCGUGAGCGACAUGCCCGUUGCCCGGGGACAACCGGUGGAAACGCCGACUAAUCCCCGAUGGGAUAUUGUGCCGCAUGGCACGAUAUUGAAAGUUACGGCGGCGACGGAUUGGCUCGCGUCCGAUUAGCUUGUUGGCGGGGUAACGGCCCACCAAGGCUGCGAUCGGUAGGGGUUCUGAGAGGAAGGCCCCCCACAAUGGGACUGAGACACGGCCCAUACUCCUACGGGAGGCAGCAGUGAGGAAUAUUGGUCAAUGGGCGGAAGCCUGAACCAGCCAUGCCGCGUGCGGGAAGGAGGCCCUAUGGGCUGCGAACCGCUUUUGCCUGGGGGCAAUAAGGGCGUCGCGCACGUCCGAUGAGAGUACCAGGCGAAUAAGCAUCGGCUAACUCCGUG